rnacentral:rRNA from 1 species
GAUGAACGCUAGCGGGAGGCUUAACACAUGCAAGUCGAGGGGCAGCAUAGGGUAGCAAUACUCUGAUGGGCGACCGGCAAACGGGUGAGUAACGCGUAUGCAACCUACCCUGUGCAGGGGGAUAACCCGGAGAAAUUCGGACUAAUAUCCCGUAAUAAUAUCCGGAGGCAUCUUUGGAUAUUUAAAGUUCCGACGGUACGGGAUGGGCAUGCGUAACAUUAACUGGUUGGUAAGGUAACGGCUUACCAAGGCUAUGAUGUUUAGGGGUCCUGAGAGGGUGGUCCCCCACACUGGUACUGAGACACGGACCAGACUCCUACGGGAGGCAGCAGUGAGGAAUAUUGGUCAAUGGGCGCAAGCCUGAACCAGCCAUCCCGCGUGCAGGAAGACGGCCCUAUGGGUUGUAAACUGCUUUUCCAGGGAGAGAAACUUACGCACGUGUUGCGUGACUGACGGUACCCUGGGAAUAAGCAUCGGCUAACUCCGUG